rnacentral:rRNA from 1 species
CGUGUGUGAGAAGGUCUUCGGAUUGUAAAGCACUUUAAGUUGGGAGGAAGGGCAGUAAGUUAAUACCUUGCUGUUUUGACGUUACCAACAGAAUAAGCACCGGCUAACUUCGUGCCAGCAGCCGCGGUAAUACGAAGGGUGCAAGCGUUAAUCGGAAUUACUGGGCGUAAAGCGCGCGUAGGUGGUUCAGCAAGUUGGAUGUGAAAUCCCCGGGCUCAACCUGGGAACUGCAUCCAAAACUACUGAGCUAGAGUACGGUAGAGGGUGGUGGAAUUUCCUGUGUAGCGGUGAAAUGCGUAGAUAUAGGAAGGAACACCAGUGGCGAAGGCGACCACCUGGACUGAUACUGACACUGAGGUGCGAAAGCGUGGGGAGCAAACAGGAUUAGAUACCCCCGGUAGUCA